AAAAGACUAAGUGAAAUGUAAAGGCAGCGAAGGAGAGAAAUUUUCUUGGUGAAGGAAUCUCCAAUCUCCCACUAACCUUCCUGGGGAGCAAGUGUAGAGAGCCCUACAUUUGUGAAAUUGGAUUGAUUCUCCUUCAGGCAGGAGGGAAGGGCAGCAGAUUAAACAUUUUUUCUGGCUGCCAUCAGUGGCAUUCUAUGAAUGACAGAAGCUUCUCACCAAUCUGAGAUCACUUCACAGCAGAAGCAAAGGAACCAAGUUGACUAUUGCUUUGUAAAAUUAAAGAAAUUAUACCUCAGAAUCUGCAACUGCUUGCAAAGAUUGAUGAGAUUGUUAACCGAAGUGUGAAGAGAACAUUACAUUCUUCAGUAAAAGGAAGGUGUCCAAGACCUUCCUCCAGCACAAUGUUAGAAGUUGUGAUAUACGCUUAAUGGCAAUGCUCAGUUCGUGCAAAUCAAAAAGUCAAGAUGAAGUCUGUACAUCCAGAAAGACCUGACAACAUUUUGGCUUGGGCUGCUCAUUGAUAAUGUUGGGCAAAUUAUCAGUGCAUUCAUGGCAGAGUCUCAAUCAGGAAUUCAAGAAUGUCAGCCAAAGUUUUCUCUCUUAAAUAAAACAGAAAUGUUGGAUUGGCUCUGGAAGUAUCAGUGGAAAGAAAAACAGUUGACUUUUUGAGUCAAAUAUGACUCUUCUUUGGAACUGGAGGCAAGAUUGGAAGCCUUAAGUGUCUGAAACUGUUUGGAUUCAUCAAAUCUAUUAUACGAAUAUUUCCAGUUUCUGCAGUAUUUUGCACUUACAUGAGUUCAAAACAUAUUUAUGACACUUGGGAGCAUAUUCUUCUCCCAAAGAUGAGAAUGAUCAUCGAUGAUAACACUGGUUGGGAGAUGAUAUAGACAUCGCUGGCUGGGCCAUUUAUUAUCCAUUCCUAUUUGGUCUUGAGAAGGUGAUGGUGAGUUGUUGCCUUGAACUGCUGCAGUUCUUACACUGCAAGAACAUCCAAAAUAUUACGAAGGAGGGUGCUCCAGGAUUUUAAGCCAGCAACACUGAAGAAAUGGUGAUAUAGUUCUAAGUCAGGAUGGUGUGCCACUUAGAGGGGAACUUGUAGGUGGUGGUAUUCUCACGUAUUUGCUGCCCUUGUUCUUUCAUAUGGUGGUGGUCACGGUGGUGCUUUUAAAAGAGCUUUGAAGAAUAUCUGCAGUGCAUCUUGUAGAUAGUAUACACUGCUGUUACUCUGCCAGUGGUGAAGUGAGCGGAUGUGGCGCCAAUCAAACAGGCUGUUUUGCCCCAGAUGGUGUCAGCUUCUCAAAUGUUAUUGUCAUCUUAGCCUCUGGCCUCCUCCUGUAGCCAUUUCUUAAAUGGUUUGUUCCGUUGAAUUUCUGAUCAAUGGUAACCUCCAAGAUGUUAAUAGUAGGGUGUAUUCAAUGAUGGUAAUAUUAUUGAAUAUCAAGUGUGAUGACUAAAUUUGCUCCAGUUCAAGAUGGUCAUUGCCUGGCAUUUGUGUUGUGCAAGUGUUACCAGUUGUCAGCUCAAACCUGGAUAUUGUUCAGAUCGUGUUGCAAUUGGACACGGAGUGCUUCAGUAUUUGAGGAGACACAACUGUUUCUUAACAUUGCACAGUGAUACUGACCAUCUCCACUUCUGGCCUUAUGAUGGAGGGAAGGUCAUUGAUGAAGCAGCUGAAGAUGGUUGGGCCUAUGAUCCUGAGGAACUCCUGCAGAGAUGUCCUGGAGCUGAGGUGACUGACCUCCAAUACCAAAACAAUCUUGCUUUUUGUUACAUAUGACUCAAUCAGCAAAGUGAUGUCUCCUGAUUCCCACUGACUCCGGUUUUGCGAGGCAGUGGAUUAAAUCACCCACUCUAACCUUUCCAUCCUUGGUCUUCUACAUUGUUCUCAAGGCAUUCGACAUAACAUUAAUGUGUCAGGACACGAAAAUGAGUUCAACAUUUUCAGAUCAUAACCAAGGCCCAUGCUAAUGGGGAGGGUUUUUGUGUUAAUGAUUCUGUUUCCUAAUUAAACUUUUUCUUUACGUUUCUUUAUUUUCCUAUUGCCAACUUGUACUGACCUGUACUGUCCAUUCUUUUGCUAUUUAAUCAUUUAAGUGUGCUACAUUCUGCUAUAUCAUAGGCCUUCACUUGUUUUUCUUUUCCUUCCUUACCCCUUUCUCUGCUUAUUUACUUAAAAUCUCCUACCUCUCUAACUUUUUCCAAUUCUGACAGAAAGCCAUUGACCGAAAAAGCUAUUGUUUUUUUCCCCACUCAUUGCAGAAAUUAUCGGUCCUUUUGAGUGUUUUUGGCAUUUUCUCUAUGUUUCCAUGUUGUCCAGGAUUCAUCUUGAACAAAAUGAUAAAGGUAGAUGUCUUCAGGUGGAUGAUAAUUUUGAAAUGGUAAUUUUCUGCCGAUGCAACAGGGUAUACUCAGGGAUAGUGAUGGUGAUGCAUAGGAUGUUGUGUAUAAGGUUUUGUUCGGUGAGUACGACUACAUUAGGCAGUUGCUCGACUAGUCUGUGAGAUUGCUCUCCCAAUUUUGGUUCUAGGAAGUAGCCAGUGGUCAGGGGGCUUUGAAAGGUCAAUAGGGGUUUGCUUGCCAUUGUCAUUUCUGGUGCCUUAGUCGACGCCAGGUGGUUUGUCUGGUCUCACUCUUUUUUUUAAUCCCCUUUCUAGAAGUUGAUACAACGGAAUUGCUCACUAGCAGUGGCUCUGGAAACACAUAUUUCAGAUCAGGUAAGGACAGCAGGAAAAGGACAGGAAAAGCAAAUCAGAUAGCUAUUUCCAACAAUUGGCAGAGAUUGGAUUUUUAAUCCCAGAGUUUUAUUUGCUGCGGUGGGAUUUGAACCUGGGUCUCUGGAUCACUAGCCCUGCAACAAUACCAUGAGGCCAUCAUCUCCUUUGCUCAAGAGAUAUAAAUAGCUCACUGCACAACUAGAUUUUUAAAAGUAAGAACACAAAAGCUAUGUGUGCUCAUUCGAUUACUAGCUUGCAUCAAUAGCCUUAUCUUUCUGACAGCAGCAGAAUGAAAAUAUCUCCACAGCACCAAUGGUGCCCCAUCAAUCUCAGGAUUGUUUCAUUGAAAAGUCUCACAGGUUAUUAUUGCAAAGGUACUUCAACUUCUAAAAAAAAUUCUGUUAUCAACUUCAAAUGAUUUUCAUUUUAAAAAUGUCCCUCGAUAGCCUUUCAUGGAUUUGUAAUUUUGAAUAAAAGUUAGCUUUUCAUUGGUAAGUUUUGCAUGCUGUUUACAGAAACCGACUGAGUAAUACUGUUUUCAAAAACAGCAUUGAGUGUUCCUUUGUUGAGAAAAAUAUUGCAAGAAAUAAUCCUUAUACAAGUUGGAACUUUAAAAAAUAAGUUACAUUAAACUACAUGAAUAGGCAAGGUUUGGAGGGAUGUAGGCCAGGAGCAGGCAGGUGGGACUACUUUAAUUUGGGAUUAUGUUCAGCAUGCCCGGCUGUUUCUGUGCUGUAUGACCCUAUGAUUCUAUUUAAGUAGGUAGGAGAAAACACAGCUGAACUAUUCAUUCAUUAAGAUCAGAAUAAUAGCCAGAUUCAAGAGUUAGUAAGCCAAUAUCUCCAUGAUCUAACACAACAAUUAACGUUUAUUUCAUUUAAUUUGAAUUGUGCGUUUUGAAUUUAUAUCCUCUGUUUCUUGGUGUACUUUUAGUCGGACUUUUAGUUCAUUUCGUCAGAAAAAGGAGCAGCAGUGGGGCAAUCAGCCCUUUGAUUUUAUGUGCUAUAAGAACUGUGAUGUCUCCUCAUCAGAAAAGUUGGCAUUUGAAGUAACCAAAUAUCAAAUUCGAGAACUCAAAAAUUAUCCAAUAACAAGAGGUGAUUGAAUCUUUGAGUAUAAUUUAUGGAUUGAAGGCUAUUUACCAUGUUGAAAAUUUGAUGUAAAAAUUGAUACAAGGCAAAUAAAUUGUUUGGUUAUUAAAAGGAUGUUGAGAUUAUUGAAGAGAAAGGUCAUAUUUUGCCUCAUAAUUUGAAUUGAAAACAGUUCACUAAACGGUAGGAUCCUUAGAGCAAACAGAUUUCCAUGCCAGCUCCUGUGGACUGGUUGGUUUCAGCGUGUUCUGUGCACCUUAUCCCUGACUCAAAUAUUCUGUCCAUGAGAAAUCAUGUAACAUCUAUCUCUACACAGGACAAAACUUAAGGAGAAAUCCAAGCUGGGAGUAGUAUUGCUAUGUAAUGGAAGCCAAAACAAAAAGGAGCUUCACUAAG